UAAUGGGUUAGAUUUAGUGGUGUAUGAAAGUUUGUGUAUUAAGGAACUUACCAGAUGUAGUAUCGAACAUUUUCACUUUGAUGUCUUCUGGCUUUCUUGAUGGUUUAUCCUUUCUAUUCUUGUCCGUUGUUUCAUUUUUCUGUGUGUUGUACUCUUUUUUACGCCUUCUGGUGAAAGAAAUCACUUUCCAUUUUUUUUCUUCCUCAUUAUUUGGUGUAUUGCUUGAAACAUCGUUUUUCUUAGUAUUUGAGUACUUUGAGUUGUCAUGCAUUUGUGGUUGUUAUUGUUUUUGUCUGUGCAAGCAUCCUCUCAAGAUGUGCCAUAUCCUUCCGCAGCCAGUGCAUAGUACAUUUCUCCUUCAUAGAUAACCAACUAUUUAUGAUCCCCUAUUGUGACUGGAGCAACUGGUGUUUCUAAGGGU
rnacentral:lncRNA from 1 species